rnacentral:rRNA from 1 species
CCUACGGGAGGCAGCAGUGGGGAAUAUUGGGCAAUGUGCGCAAGCCUGACCCAGCAACGCCGCGUGAAGGAAGAAGGCUUUCGGGUUGUAAACUUCUUUUUUCAGGGAAGAGUAGAAGACGGUACCUGACGCAUAAGCCACGGCUAACUACGUGCCAGGAGCCGCGGUAAUACGUCGGUUGCAGGCGUUGUCCGGAUUUACUGGGUGUAAAGGGCGUGUAGCCGGGUUGACAAGUCAGAUGUGAAAUCCUGCGGCUUAACCGCAGAACUGCAUUUGAAACAGUUGGUCGUGAGUACUGGAGAGGCAGACGGAAUUCCUGGUGUAGCGGUGAAAUGCGUAGAUAUCAGGAGGAACACCAGUGGCGAAGGCGGUCUGCUGGACAGCAACUGACGGUGAGGCGCGAAAGCGUGGGGAGCAAACAGGAUUAGAUACCCCGGUAGUC